rnacentral:piRNA from 1 species
UCAAUUGGUAAGGCGCUUGCCUAGCGUGC